rnacentral:lncRNA from 1 species
AAACCCCGCAUGGCAAUCCCUGACGCACUGCCGUGAUGCCCAGGGAAUACAGGGCGACCUGGAAGUCCCAACUACUUCCUUAAGAUCAUCCAACUUUUGGAUGACUACCCAAAAUGCUUCAUUGUGGGAGCAGACAAUGUGUGCUCCAAGCAUAUGCAGCAGAUCCGCCAUGUCCCUCCGCGGGAAGGCUGUGGUGCUGAUGGGCAAGAAUGCCAUGAUGCGCAAGGCCAUCCGGGGGCACCUGGUGAACAACCGAGCUCUGGAGAAGCUGCUGCCUCACAUCCGGGGGAACUCGGGCUUCGUGUUCACCAAGGAGGACCUCACCGAGAUUAGGGACAUGCUGCUGGCCAAUAAGGUGCCAGCUGCCGCUGGAGCUGGUGCCCUCGCACCAUGUGAGGUCACUGCGCAUGCUCAGAACACUGGUCUGGGGACUGAGAAGAGCUCUUUCUUCCAAGUUUUAUUGCCACUAACAUCUCCAGAGGUACCAUUGAAAUCCUGAGCGAUGUGCAGCUGAUAAAGAUUGGAGACAAGGUGGGAGCCAGCGAAGCCACACUGCUGAACAUGUUGAGCAUCUCCCCCUUCUCCUUUGGGCUGAUCAUCCAGCAGGUGUUUGACAACGGCAGCAUCUACAGCCCUGAGGUGCUGGACAUACAGAGCAGGCCCUGCACUCUCGCUUCCUAGAGGGUGUCCGCAAUGUGGCCAGUGUCUGUCUGCAGAUUGGCUACCCGACUGUUGCCUCAGUGCCUCACUCCAUCAUCAAUGGAUACAAGAGGGUCCUGGCUUUGUCUGUGGAGACUGACUACACCUUCUCACUGGCUGAAAAGGUCAAAGCCUUCCUGGCCGAUCCAUCUGCAUUUGCAGCUGCGGCCCC